rnacentral:rRNA from 1 species
UACGUAGGGCGCAAGCGUUAUCCGGAAUUAUUGGGCGUAAAGCGUGCGCAGGCGGUUUUGUAAGCCAGAUGUGAAAUCCCCGGGCUUAACCUGGGAAUGGCAUUUGGGACUGCAAGGCUCGAGUGCGGCAGAGGAGACUGGAAUUCCUGGUGUAGCAGUGAAAUGCGUAGAUAUCAGGAGGAACACCGAUGGCGAAGGCAGGUCUCUGGGCUGACACUGACGCUCAUGCACGAAAGCGUGGGGAGCAAACAGG